UACGUAGGGGGCUAGCGUUGUCCGGAUUUAUUGGGCGUAAAGAGCGUGUAGGCGGCCAGAUAGGUCUGCUGUGAAAACUCGAGGCUCAACCUCGAGAUGUCGGCGGAAACCAUUUGGCUAGAGUCCGGAAGAGGAAAGUGGAAUUCCUGGUGUAGCGGUGAAAUGCGCAGAUAUCAGGAAGAACACCCGUGGCGAAGGCGGCUCACUGGUCCGGUACUGACGCUGAGGUGCGAAAGCGUGGGGAGCAAACAGG
rnacentral:rRNA from 1 species